GGGGGUGCAGCUCAGUGGUAGAGGGCUUGCCUAGCAUGCACAGGUACUGGGUUCAAUCCCCAGUACCACUU
rnacentral:tRNA from 1 species